UAGUAGAGCACCUUGAAUAUGCUGUUGUCUGGAUCAGGAAUAUCUCAAAGAAUUUGACUUGUUUGUCCUUUAUUCUGGCACGAAUAAUAUUGGCCGUGACACAUUGAUGCGUAUUCUUUUCCUUUGCUAGUGAGUUGUGAGGUGGAUAAAAGUUCUUCUGUCCAACGAAUAGCAGUGCCGAAUAGGAUAUUAAAAGUACUCAAUGAUCAAAAAGGACCUAAAAGUGGACAUCCAAGCCAUCUUGGAUGAAAUUUCUUAGCCACAAAGUUCUUACCUACAUUUCCAUUUUAUUCCUUGAUAUGCAGGACAAUUACUUCACAUCAGAAAAGUAUUUUGCUUACAUGGUGCUUAUGAACUACCAUUUUUAGGAAAAAGUAUUGCAUCAGUGCUUUCCUAUCCUUUGAGAAGUGGACCUUUUAUUCUUUAUCUUCAGUGAUGGGUCAUUUAUUGUGCUGAAAGAGAAUCUGGGACAAACACUAGAUGAGGGAGAGGCCCUGGACCAAAAGAGUAUGUUCCAACAAAAGGAUGACCACAGUGGAAAGCAGAAAGCAGAAAGCAGAAUUGAGCUUCAAUUAUAUUGCACCAGCUCACAAUGUCAUAUACCGCCACUGAGCAUCCAGAGGUCGUUGGAUGAUUCAGCAACAACCAUGAAGCUGCUUCAUCUUCAUCUUCUUCAUCUAUAGUCGUAUCAUCUGCAUCUUGUGUUAAACUCAAGAACCCAUCAUCCUCCGUUCCUUCCCCCGUGGACCCACCAAUCAUCAUAGAAUCACUGCCAACAGUGUCAACAGCUGGAGGACCAUAAAGGGUUCCUGGAGAUUGGAAUCAGAGCCAAAUUUAGAAUUUAAGUUUGAUGAGUUCAAUUUUUAUGUUUUUUAUUAUUUAAAACAUUACACUUUUGAUAUUAUGGUUUAGAAGCCAUAUAUAAUGAAUUUUUUGUUAUUUUUCUCAUGUAGGAGUAUAUAUGGUCUGUGUGAAGAAAAAUGGUGGCUACCUGGAAUGGGAAUAAUUGGGAUACGGUGGUGACGAUGUGCCAAGGGGUUGGCAGAAUGGAUGUCAGCAUCGCAGGAGGCACAAAGUGAGGCAGCAUCCGCCUUGCAAAGAAAGGCUGCAGGGGCACACUCGCAGGCCUCACAAACCCACACACGCUUGUGACGAGAAGCCACCAGACUUGCUGCAUGUAUGCGGGCGUCACAGCCUGCACACAAAUAGGCAGAAUCCGCCUGGCAGUAAAUGGUACAGACUUAUGGGGCACUGUGGAAUAUGAAGGGGGAAAGUAGGGAGAAUAACAGUAGGCAACUAUCAAGUGGGGAGAGAAUCCAAGGGCAACAUGUGGAGGGAAGUUAAUGGGUAGGAAAAGUUUUUUCAUUAUCUUGUGGUGGCUGG